ACGGGUUGUGGGAGCAAUAGCCCGGAGACGGAUUCUGAGACACGAAUCCGGACCCUACGGGGUGCAGCAGGCGCGAAAACUUCACACUGCAGGAAACUGUGAUGAGGGAACUCCAAGUGACUGCACAAUGUGUAGCCUUUUCUUGAAUCUUAAUAGUUCUUGGAAUAAGGGCUGGGAAAGACCGGUGCCAGCCGCCGCGGUAAUACCGGCAGCUCAAGUGGUCGUCGCUUUUAUUGGGCCUAAAACGUCCGUAGCCUGUUUGGUAAAUCUGUGGGUAAAUCAACGAGCUUAACUCGUUGAAUUCUGCAGAGACUGCCAGACUAGGGACCGGGAGAGGUAUGAGGUACUCUGGGGGUAGGGGUAAAAUCCUGUCAUCCUCAGAGGACCACCUGUUGCGAAGGCGUCAUACUGGAACGGAUCCGACGGUCAGGGACGAAGCCUAGGGGCACGAACCGGAUUAGAUACCCGGGUAGUCCUAGGUGUAAACGCUGUGGAUUUGGUGUGUGGGGUCCGCAAUGGGCCCCAUGUGCCGGAGUGAAGAUGUUAAAUCCACUGCCUGGGGAGUACGGUCGCAAGGCUGAAACUCAAUAGGAAUUGACGGAAUCACUA
rnacentral:rRNA from 1 species